GUAAGGAAUAUUGGGCAAUGGAGGCAACUCUGACCCAGCCAUGCCGCGUGGAGGAUGAAGGUCCUCUGGAUUGUAAACUUCUUUUAUUUGGGAAGAAAUGCCGAUUUUCUAAUUGGUUUGACGGUACCAGAUGAAUAAGCACCGGCUAACUCCGUGCCAGCAGCCGCGGUAAUACGGAGGGUGCAAGCGUUAUCCGGAUUCACUGGGUUUAAAGGGUGCGUAGGCGGGCAUAUAAGUCAGUGGUGAAAUCCCCGAGCUUAACUUGGGAACUGCCGUUGAUACUAUGUGUCUUGAAUAUCGCGGAGGUAAGCGGAAUAUGUCAUGUAGCGGUGAAAUGCAUAGAUAUGACAUAGAACACCGAUUGCGAAGGCAGCUUACUACACGAUCAUUGACGCUGAGGCACGAAAGCGUGGGGAGCAAACAGG
rnacentral:rRNA from 1 species